rnacentral:rRNA from 1 species
GAUGAACGCUGGCGGCGUGCCUAAUACAUGCAAGUCGAGCGAACAGAUGAGAAGCUUGCUUCUCUGAUGUUAGCGGCGGACGGGUGAGUAACACGUGGGUAACCUACCUAUACGACUGGGAUAACUCCGGGACACCGGGGCUCAUACCGGAUAAUAUUUUGAACCGCAUGGUUCGAUAGUGAAAGACGGUUUCGGCUGUCACUUAUAGAUGGACCCGCGCCGUAUUAGCUGGUUGGUAAGGUAACGGCUUACCAAGGCGACGAUACGUAGCCGACCUGAGAGGGUGAUCGGCCACACUGGAACUGAGACACGGUCCAGACUCCUACGGGAGGCAGCAGUAGGGAAUCUUCCGCAAUGGGCGAAAGCCUGACGGAGCAACGCCGCGUGAGUGAUGAAGGUCUUCGGAUCGUAAAACUCUGUUGUUAGGGAAGAACAAAUUUGUUAGUAACUGAACAAGUCUUGACGGUACCUAACCAGAAAGCCACGGCUAACUACGUGCCAGCCGCCGCCGUAA